UUUGUUUGUAAAAGUCAUCCAUACCCUCUAACCAAAAAUAAACCAAAUCAAUUGUGGUCAACUCUCCUAAUUCAUCCUCAUCUCUCCUCGUUGUCCAAGACGAUGAAGAACUUCGUUCCUUUCUUGUCUCUGUGCAAGACAAUUAAAACUUUUUACCAUACAAUUAAAUCACUCUCCCAGUUUCUUAAUCCCUAAUUGCGACUAAAUCCAUCUCGUUCCUUGCCCAGAGGAUGAAGAAAUUGAACCCUAGUCCUGACUAAACCGAAGAUGAGAGAAACUGUGAAGUUGAUAAGCAUGGAGAAUUUCGAGUUCAUCAUCGAUAAAGAAGCUGCCAUGGUUUCUCCAGACCAUUCGAAGCAUGCUUACUUCUACAGUGGUUUUAUCUCGAAGAACAAGACACUGGAGGAUCAGUUGUGAAUAUGAGUUCGACAAGCACUGAUGUUUCUGAAUCAGAGAGAGCAUACCGAACCAACUAUGUUCCUCCUUAUUUUAGGAGCCGUACACAAUUGUUGUACUUUGCUGUUCCUACACCUGGUAAUCAUCUUAGUUUCUGGGCAGUGCCUUAAUUUCAUCCUCUUCGGUCAUAUUUAGUUUUAUUUCACAAUUUUUAAAAUCUUGGCUUAUGUAUGUGAAGCCUAAUUGACUACUAGAAUUGUUAAUGAGUAUGCGCCAACGGUCCACA